rnacentral:rRNA from 1 species
AGCAGCCGCGGUAAUUCCAGCUCCAAUAGCGUAUAUUAAAGUUGUUGCAGUUAAAAAGCUCGUAGUUGAAUUUCGGGAUCAAUAUGUCGGUCGUGCCUUCGGUACGUACUGGUAUCAUUGGUCUCUCCUUUCUGACGAACCAUGAUGUCAUUAAUUUGGUGUUAUGGGGAGUUAGGACUGUUACUUUGAAAAAAUUAGAGUGUUUAAAGCAGGCUUUAGCUUGAAUACAUUAGCAUGGAAUAGUGAAAUAGGACGUUUGAUUCUAUUUUGUUGGUUUCUAGGAUCGACGUAAUGAUUAAUAGGGAUAGUUGGGGGCAUUAGUAUUCAAUUGUCAGAGGUGAAAUUCUUGGAUUUAUUGAAGACUAACUACUGCGAAAGCAUUUGCCAAGGAUGUUUUCAUUAAUCAAGAACGAAAGUUAGGGGACCGAAGACGAUCAGAUACCGUCGUAG